rnacentral:lncRNA from 1 species
CAUUCCCUGAAUAUGAUGGCUAUUCUCAGUUUUCAAUUUGACUAUAUCUGGAAUUAACUGAAACCCAAAAGUGGCUGGACACACUUGGAAAGGGAUUUUGCUUAGAUCAUUUGAAGUUGGACGAUUCAUUUCAGUUAUAGACAACUCAGUAGUUUUCAGACAAGGCUACCUCUUGGAGAUAUUCUCAGGUAAGCCUGGCCCAGGAAUGCACAAAAUCUUCCCACACACCAGCUUUUCACUAACGUAAAGGACUCCAGGAUGUGUGUUAAAUUCCCAGCAUCUGGAAAGGAGACCCCAGCUUCAGGACUAUGAACAACUACCUCUUUAGGAGUAUAUAAAGAAAUAAACUUUCUUACUUUAAUAUAGACUAGAAAUCAUGCCCAGGCUUGUUUUCUGAAAGCAAAGCGUCCUGUCAGAGGGACUGUGUGUCCCUUGAACCACUUUUUUUUUUUGAGAAAUACUUUAUACUCGUGUUUAAACUUGAACUGUUUUAGCAUAGUCUGUUAAAGUCAAACACAAGAAGUAUUAUAGCUAUAAAUGUAAAUGUAGCUUGUAUUUCGUCAGAGGAAGAGAUUAGAUGAGACCUGUACUCAAGCUUUACAAAUAAAUGGGCUGAGCCCAGACUGUUUCUAUCUAACUAUCCCUAGGCCUAGGCCUGGAAGCUACUCCAUAUAAUCCAAUCUUCUCCAAGCCCAGAUCUUGAAGGUUCCAGCUUCCAGCCUCUGUUUGCUAAGGAUGCCAAAGGAGGGUGCUUUCAGAUCCUGGGGAACUGGAGUUACAAAGGAUGAUGAGUUAACAUGUCGGUUCUUGGAACUAAACCUGGGUCCUCUGGAAGAACAUCAAGUGCUUAAACACCAAUUCAUCUCUCUACUCGCAUGUAUUUUACUUUGAAUGUAACAAGUCAUUAAAGAACUCAUUUAUUUUAAAAAGAAGCAAACAUUUCAUCAGACUCAUCAGAUAAAAAUAAAAUAAAAUGAAUGAAUUUUGUUCGGUAGUAACUUUUGCUAGAUUAGCCCAAAUACUUGAAAUGACUAUAUUGUCUAGGCACUGUAGGACAUGACCAUAGUCCCAGAAGUUGAGUGGCAUGGUCUCCCUCGGACUCCCUGAAAUAACUGAGUCCUGCGGGUCGGGACAAGUGGCAUCCAAACGUGGGGCCCGAGGUACAGACCGUCACUGGACGGAGCCAAUUUUCCUGAGAAGGUCACUCCGAUGAAGUCGUUUUGAGGAGAGCUCUCACCGCUCAUGAGAGAAAGUCAUCCUCGAUAAAUACUUCUCUCAGCCUUAACCAGAGAAGCUCCUCUGAGCUGUGAAAGGCUACGGAUAUAGAGGCAUAUAACCACACAAGGUGCUGAGAAUAAGUGAAAUAUCCAGGUAUAAAGGAGAUAUUUAUGCUACCCCUAAAGCUCAUGCAAUAUUGAAGAAGCAGCCAAAUGCAUCACCUCAACAAGUUCUCUGACUGAUUGCAUGGAGAUUGCUUAAGACAGCCAAAAGAACCAAUUUGGUCAAGUAAAAUCAGCUUAAUGGCCAUAAAGUCUGACAGGAACUGAUGAGAAGUUGUGAAUGUAAGACUCCAGGGAACCUUAGCUUACCUAGGACCCCCUGAGUGAACCACGUGGAUCCAGGAUCGAUGCAAAGAAGCAAGAGGAAUUUAUUGUUCCAGUGCACUGAGGUCUUCCCAGACCCGAAGAAGAGGCGGUGGGUGACCCCCAGCAUCUGCCGAGUUUUCAUAUGGUUUCCAGGGACAGAAUAGAGCAUCAACAACUUGGCACAAUAUGAUAGGUGGAACAGUGCACCCUUUAAACUGAUUGAACUUUAGGGAAUGAGGUGACAAGGACUUUACUUGUCUGAAGGUGGGCAACAAUCGGUCCUGCAGAAUGUGUCCCCACCAGCAGGUUGGUCCCCGCCCUGUGGUCUGAGAAAUGGUAAUUAGCCUCUCCCUUCUGGAGGUGCAAGUGUUCCAUGACCUUCCCAAAGUUCCUAAGCUGAUGUUUUCAUGAGAAGUGCUGAGUUCCAAGGCCCUUUUUUAUGUUUUGAUGAAAGAACGCCAUGUUGGUUUCUCUACAAAGAUUAGUGAUGACUGCAUUGAUCCAAGAAAUAGCUAAAAGGUAACAUACUACUAUAAUUAUAUAAAACAAUACAGCGUUUACAGUUUUGUUUGUAUUUGUCUUUUAUUUAUUUAUUUGCUUAUUUUUGGCAUUUGAAAGAUACCAUGUUUUUGUAUCUAACAAUAAAUCUGGGGAGAACUAAGGUGCAGGUUUCUUAUGUUGAUCCAACACCUAAAACAGGAGCUGCUCUCUUUCUUCAUUAUUCAGGGAUUCCCUCAUUAUUAUGGUAAUGAGGUUAGCUCUGAGCUCCUUCCACAAGAACUCCUCUUUGCUAAUCCUAUAGAGUACUGGAUUCCUGGGGCAUUAUUGGAUAAAAGUUUCUAUUCUUACUCCAACCACUGCAGUAUUUUCACUAGCUCAGCAUUAUGUAUUUUUCUGCAUUCUUCCUUGCAUAUAUACUAGUAAAAGGUAACUGUUUUCAUAAAUAAAAAAAAAACACCUUCCUG